rnacentral:lncRNA from 1 species
CCCCUGCUGACAAAAACCACGAAGGACUCGUAUUCAUACCUUUUCAACAAACGAGAUAAUAGCACGUAUGAAACACCUUACAACACGUACAACACCUAUAAUUCCUCGGCGAGUGACUUAGAUUCCGUACGAACGUUGAAAGAACCGUCGAACAAUGGACUUGAGUACAGCGAAACUCGAGGUUUGGUUCAGGGAGGCUCACCCAAUACGUCAGAGGACAAAGUCUCGUCCGAGACUGCCAAAAUUAGAGACUCGGUAGACUUGAGGGAGCUGGCAAAAGUCUUCAGCCGCGCGCUUUCAGCAUACCUCGAGGAUCCCGAAAAUUUCCGACGCGUCUUGUCUGAGGUUCGGCCAACCGAGCCCACCACACUUGUUACUCCCGCCGAGCUGACCUCCUCGGAGGACGAAGUAUUGGCAUUCUCCGAAGACACAAAAUCCUUCCUCAAAGACCCACUGCUGAGAUCACGCCAACGGUCUAUGGAGAUUUUGCAAGCACAAACUCAGAUAGUACAAGAAGCGAAAGUGGACGAAAUUACAAAUUUGAGAAAAAUAACAAAACAUCCAUACCACAACUAUCUAAUGAGUUGACCCCACCUUUCGUUUCCUAUGACGGCUCUAACUCGCUGACGGACACAGAGGCCCCCAUUCUUUUUGCCUCGGAUAUUAAUAACUUUAUCGGCAAUGUCUCUGCCACAGGCCCAGAGUACGACAACUUGUCUCGACAAGGAGAAGCGUCCGAAACCUCCUAUUUUCCCACCGCUGGAGGUGCAAGCGACCAAAGCCGGCCACGCUACGGUGGCUUCCACAACAAUUCCGCGCCAGUCACCCCCUCGUACUCACCUUAUGGAGUUGGAGUUGCGAAACAGCGCACGGGUCAGCCCAUAUCUGAGGCAACUACCCCUCAAUUUACGGUUUCCCCAAUGCUGGACUUCACCGAAACUGGAACCGAGAUUCAGACUACCUACCCCGCCACUCCUAAUUCUUAUGUCGGCGCACAAGACGUAAACAACCUGGUAUCGAACUUCAACUACGAUCAAAAUGUCGACUACGCGAGCUAUAACAACGCCGGUUUCACUGGGGCAGAAACCUCACCGACGCGCGCAACACCUAGUGGCAAAAACGAAAACCUUAUCGCAUCAGGUAGCCAGUCGUUCGUCUCCAGAGACAACUACCUGCAAUAUCAAAAUGGCUUCGGGCAGCAGCAGCCGAGGAAUCAACUCCAAGGCCCCUCCAAUACGUACAGAACACUACCCAAAGAAGCUGAAUUAGACCAAAGGUACAAGAGUGCUCAACAGAGAAAACCUGAGACUUACUUCACAGCAGCUCCCGCUUACUCUUCUCCACUGACACCCUCCAUCAACGCAGCCAGGAUAAACAACGAACUGCGGUCGUAUUACACGCCGACAGCCAACGACGUGGACGCUACAGAGGCUCCGACAACCUUCUGGUCCUCAACGCCGUCAUCCGUGCAACCGACAACAUACCACCCACCAACCACUACCGUCCUCAGAAUGACUCAGUCUCAAAGGAUGUCCGUAACGGUUAAGGGGGGUGGAUCGCCGCGGAUAUCCAACAUAGCAUCGCGUCCGUCCGAUAGUGUGCCAAGUGCCACUCAGUCGACGAGAAUCACGUCGAGGAACUACGAGACGCAGUCAACCAGGUGGGUGUCAGCGACGGCUAAACCUGAUUAUGGCCACACGUCGUUCAGGCGAUACACGCAGUCGACUUUAGCACCAUCCACGGCGCAGUCUGCCUCCACACCCGUGCCAUCCACUACGCGAGGCUUCGCAAACUCUUCCGUCGGUUUCGAGGCCAAAGCCAAAGAGAUGUUCGGCAACCUGAACGAGACUUCUGCUGAUAGACUGAUGGAUGUGAUGAACCAAGCCGAGACAAACGUUACAUUGAGGAGACUGGUGCUCUUGCUGGUGAACGACAAAGGCAGCCGAAACAAGAAGACAACAACUGAGUCCCGAUCGCAGCUGAUCGAGGCCCUGCUCAAGACCUCGGAGAAGUCCUCCUCAGCUUCGGUCAUCCACCCCAAAGUGGCGGCACCCUCAACCUCGGACAAGCAGACGAAGCACAGGAAAGAACCCCGGCGAGACGAGCUCACGGCCCGGGCCACCUCCCGAUUCACGGCCACCACCCACGCCCAGUCGCCCAGCCCGGCGUCGACGACGACGACAACGACGCCGAGGCCGACGACGAACGGCGACGCCUGGUCGACGCGGACGUCAAGGCGGACGGCGUCGACCACCACCACAACGACGAGUCCCCGGGCCAAAUACCAGUCGACUAACGAUCUGGCAACAGACUCGGAUUCACGCGCCGUCGAGCUACUGAAGUCCCUGUAUACGCUCGCCGCUAGGUGGGGCUGA